CAUGUGGUUGCGUUAAAGACACCUAAGCUCCGGGGACAAGCAUGGUUGUCUUCACUGAAGUCACAAGCCAAUGCUGGUGACAUUGUUUGCUCUUGGGGUCGAGGAAAGGAUGGGCAAUUAGGUUACGGAGAUGCAGUGGAUCGACCUUCUCAAGUAACAUGUUUACGUUGUUGCCAUGUACUCAAGUCAAUAGAGGAGAACAUCGAGCUUCAGUGCAGGCACUAUUGAGGAUUCAAUAGGAUAGACCCAUCAAAGUAGAUACCAACAGUGGGACAUGCACUAUUGAGGAUUCAAUAGGAUAGACCCAUCAAAGUAGAUACCAACAGUGGGACAUGAACUUUGGUUUGGCUACAGCCUACAACAACCUUUAGGUAACCUUUGUCUAGCUUGUUUUAAAGUUCAAACCAAACCCUGUGACACACC